GUUCCGGUAGUGCAAUGGAUAGCACUUUGAGCCUCUAAUCCAAGGGUCGUGGGUUUGAAUCCCACCUGGGAUA